CAGCGAUGAUGUGCGCUCCACGCGGGAAGCCACUUCCGCUGGUUCGCCAUGGCCAUCACCGCCCUGAGCUAGGCAACGCCGCGACGAUUUCGCCUCAGACUGCAGCGUCACGAGCAGUCAGGUCAAUCCACGGCCGCAGGUGCCGGGACUGAAGGACUCGGUGGCCUCUACUGGCAGGUGACGAGACGCCGUGGACUGCCAUCUCCGCCGUGGCUGCCGAUACAGCAUCUGACCCCAACUGUCCAACCUCAUUUAGUCUGAAGCAAGAUAAUCAACAACUGACUAUGCCCUACAAUGGUUUUCAGCGACUUCAGAAUCAACAAUCUGCAGUCAGCUAGCAAAGGGAAGGCCCUGGUCAACAUUAUCUCUGCACCCAGAAUUUCUAAUGACCGCACCAUUUGAAUUGAUUUAGUUGUCUACUAUUUCAUCGCACUUCUGUUGGAUCAAAUCUUUAGAGGUAUGUUGCCUUUUAGUGUUCCUUCGAAAUGGAUAUAUAUGUAGAUAUUCUCAUUCUUACUUCAGUGUGCAUGGAAAUUUGUCUCACAUUGUAAUAUGUGACCCAAAAACAGUGGCAUGAGUUAACUCAGUUUAUCUUCUUUGUAUAAAAUGUGUCUUCUGGUACCAUUACCAGUCAUGACCCCUGAUUUUAUUUUUUGUAAUGAAAACGUAGAAUGUAGUUAAGAUUUCCCAAGAAAUCUUGAACAUUGACUCGACGAGAAUCCCAAGUCUUAAGUUAGUAUGGUAACUGUGCACAUCCCCAAUUUAUUGAUUUUUCCAACCUUCACAUGUUUUUAUGGCAGGCUCACUCUUUUAGAUAAGACAUGUAGAUUAACAUAUAUAUCUACAUGUGUAAGCCUAAAAAUGUGCAUCGGAUAAUAGAUAGUUGUGUACUAAAAGACGACCACUUAGACAUUAUUUUUAUUCCAUGUGAUUCUGGAUUUACUUUUUUAAUUCAUUUUAAUUCGAGCUUGAUUUGUAACAGUUCCAAAGAUUUUUUUUUUGUAUUACACGUGAAUUUUCACGUGCCGUCGUCCAUGAUGCACAAUGUAUCUGGAGUCCUUUUGUUGUCUCCUCUGCACCAUUGGCAGACCUCUGAAGCAGCACAUUACCAUUGCAAUUGAUUUUGAUUUCGGAAUCUGAGAGCAUCAGAUUUUGGUGGUGAGGCAUAUAAUACUUGACGAGGCACCACGACUGGAUGUUGGAGAAGAUAAUAUGGCAUUGUACUGGUCUUUCCACGAUGUACAUACAUGCAUGUGGCUUGCUGUCUCCGGUGUGCACAACUACCAUCUUGCGCUUAACCUCAGUUGCAACUCUCAGCUACUACAAUCCGGUGCGCUGAAGCUGGCUCGGGGCCCAGUGUGAUCCCGCCUUAGCCCCUGGCUGCAAUAACCACUGCACCACAAGUAUUCUCUCUUUCUCUCUCAUUUUUCCAAAUCCUACUUUCAUGGAAUUUUGUCAUUCCUAUCUACCAAGUAAUCUGCUGAGGAUGACGCAAAAACACAUGUCAUCAUAAGUGUACUGCAGUCCUCUUCAAGUAUCAUAUUAUGUGCUGUGGAAACUUUUUAUUUUGUGUUUCGACACUAAUAUUGUUACUUGUGUUCUUUUUCUUUUUCUUAAUAAAAGGUUUUGUUUGUUAGCAAAUUAUAUGUUCUUUCACUUCCUGUAAACAUUGCCCUGUUGGAAUUGCAACAUUGUACAGUUUAUCAGCUUCUUUUUAUUGCUCAAGGCAGUUUAUUAGCUCUCGUAUUGUUUCUGUUAAUAUCCAGUUGCAAUUUUGUUUGCCCUGCAGCCAUGCAUCUUUGUCGUAUUCACAAUCACAAUGAUGUCUUUGUUUAUAUUCAUGACCCCUUGAAUAGGACCCAAAGGCUUUCUAUUCAAAGUGAGCCCUACAUUGACCAACAAAAUUCAACUGGAACACAUGGUAAGUUAGUGAUAGAUGUCAAGCUGAUGGCACCACUUCGAGUGACUCCUCUUUGUAUUAUAGACAAGGAGGAGCUGGAAGCAAGGAGUUGUACACUACGACUGACCACCGGUCGUUCCCUUGCCUCAGGAUGAGGACACAAUAUUAUGGCCAAUAAUGGCCCGUGGUGCCAAUCGCACCAUAUAGCCACUUUAACCAUGUUAUAAGUUGUAACAUUUAGAGCAGAAGGUCAAGAAAAGAUAGUUGUUGUCAGAGAGAGGAAGCGGGAAGAAGACGUCCUUAGCGAAUUUUACAUCUGCAUUAUGCUCUAGGCAUGUAUUGAAAAUGUCUACUUAUAAUGUCUACAAAAUUUUUACCAGUCAUGCUGAUAUGAUUUUUUCUUUCCGUAGCAAAUACAUACAACAACAAAUUGUUAUUGACAAUGGUUGAUCCUCUUUCGCAAGAUGUAACUCAUUGUAACAAGCUCACACUAUUAGAGCCAGAGUGGAUGUUACAUUUAUGUGUACCUAUUAUGCUCA